rnacentral:lncRNA from 1 species
UGCAGCCCCGCCCCCAUAAUUGACGUUUCUCGGUAUCGAAAUAAGAAAAUUAAAUAAAUAAAACUAAUGAAUGAUUGCAGAAAGCGCGUCAAAAGUGAACAGACGCACCGAAACACCUGCACGAAGGUUCCAACGUCACGUGUGGGAGCGUUCUGGUGAGGUAACGUUGGUUAAGCUAACGCAGCUAACCGCAGUGUGACGGUUGGUCACUGAGAUGCUACUUAGCUGUUUAUGUGUGGAUGUUCUUUUACCGUUUUGCUGCAUUUAAUGCAUUAGGAGUGAUGAAGUUUUGCAUUGGAGCAAAUAACCCACGUGCUGGGUUUCAGACAUUCCAUGGAGAUUCCCUCACUGGAGGAGAUGGUGAGCCUGAGUCCACUGUAAAGGGAUCCAGCAUCAUCAUGUGGUAGGACUGUUUAAGAGACUGAGCAAAACAUCAGGUUACAGGUGUUAAAAGGAAAAAUCCACGACUCUACUACUGUGGAAUUAAAUUUCACAAGC